UUUAAUGAGAGUUUGAUCCUGGCUCAGGACGAACGCUGGCGGCGUGCCUAAUACAUGCAAGUAGAACGCUGAGGUUUGGUGUUUACACUAGACUGAUGAGUUGCGAACGGGUGAGUAACGCGUAGGUAACCUGCCUCAUAGCGGGGGAUAACUAUUGGAAACGAUAGCUAAUACCGCAUAAGAGUAAUUAACACAUGUUAGUUAUUUAAAAGGAGCAAUUGCUUCACUGUGAGAUGGACCUGCGUUGU
rnacentral:rRNA from 1 species